rnacentral:rRNA from 1 species
AGCUUGCUCUUCGGCGGUUAGCGGCGGACGGGUGAGUAACACGUAGGCAACCUGCCUGUACGACUGGGAUAACUCCGGGAAACCGGAGCUAAUACCGGAUACGUUUUUCAGACCGCAUGGUCUGAAAUAGAAAGACCUUUGGUCACGUACAGAUGGGCCUGCGGCGCAUUAGCUAGUUGGUGGGGUAACGGCCUACCAAGGCGACGAUGCGUACCCGACCUGAGAGGGUGAUCGGCCACACUGGGACUGAGACACGGCCCAGACUCCUACGGGAGGCAGCAGUAGGGAAUCUUCCGCAAUGGACGAAAGUCUGACGGAGCAACGCCGCGUGAACGAUGAAGGUUUUCGGAUCGUAAAGUUCUGUUGUUAGGGAAGAACCGCCGGGAUGACCUCCCGGUCUGACGGUACCUAACGAGAAAGCCCCGGCUAACUACGUGCCAGCAGCCGCGGUAAUACGUAGGGGGCAAGCGUUGUCCGGAAUUAUUGGGCGUAAAGGGCGCGCAGGCGGGUUCUUAAGUCUGGUGUGAAAGCCCACGGCUCACCCGUGGAGGGCCACUUGAAACUGGUAGGCUUGAGUGCACGAGAGGAGAGCGGAAUUCCACGUGUAUCGGUGAAUUGCGUAGAGAUGUGGAGGAA